rnacentral:rRNA from 1 species
UUUAUGGAGAGUUUGAUCCUGGCUCAGGACGAACGCUGGCGGCGUGCCUAAUACAUGCAAGUCGAGCGAACAGAAAAGGAGCUUGCUCCUUUGACGUUAGCGGCG